UUCCCCGCUCCUGUCGCGGGGGCAGAGAUGCCCCCCACCUGGGGCUUCUAGAAGCCUGAGAGGCCCCAGGUGCGGGGCGGGACCCGAGCGCGUCCGCGAUUGGCGCCUGGGGCGGCGUGGGUGGUAAAGGCGGGGGGCGGGCCUGGGUAGGAAAAGCCCCUCCGCCCCGCGCGCCCCCGCACGCCCUUUCGGCUCCUGGAUUUACACGCAGUCCCCGCAGCUGCCCACCAUGAACGCCAGCGGCCCCGGCUACCCGCUCGCCUCGCUCUACGUGGGCGACCUGCACCCCGAUGUGACCGAGGCCAUGCUCUACGAGAAGUUCUCACCCGCCGGCCCCAUCCUGUCCAUCCGCGUGUGCCGCGACGUGGCCACCCGCCGCUCGCUGGGCUAUGCCUACAUCAACUUCCAGCAGCCGGCCGACGCUGAGCGGGCACUGGACACAAUGAACUUUGAGGUGAUCAAAGGCCAGCCCAUCCGCAUCAUGUGGUCCCAGCGAGACCCAGGACUUCGCAAGUCGGGUGUGGGCAACAUCUUCAUCAAGAACCUGGAGGACUCCAUUGACAACAAGGCCUUGUAUGACACCUUCUCCACCUUCGGGAACAUCCUCUCUUGCAAGGUGGUAUGUGACGAUCAUGGCUCCCGAGGCUUUGGCUUUGUCCAUUUUGAGACCUAUGAGGCUGCGCAACACGCCAUCAGCACCAUGAACGGGAUGCUGCUGAAUGACCGCAAAGUCUUUGUUGGCCACUUCAAGUCCCGACGGGAGCGAGAGGCAGAGCUGGGAACUCGGGUUAUGGAGUUCACCAAUGUCUAUGUGAAGAACCUCCACGUGGACGUGGAUGAGCGGCGCCUGCAGGACCUCUUCUCCCAGUUUGGGAAGAUGCUGAGUGUGAAGGUGAUGAGGGAUGACAGUGGCCACUCCCGCGGCUUCGGCUUUGUCAACUUUGAGAAGCAUGAGGAAGCCCAGAAGGCUGUGAUGGACAUGAACGGGAGGGAGGUGAGUGGGCAGCUGCUCUACGUGGGCCGGGCCCAGAAGCGGGUGGAGCGGCAGAAUGAGCUGAAGCGCAGGUUCGAACAGAUGAAGCAGGAUCGGCUGACCCGUUACCAGGGCGUGAACCUGUAUGUGAAGAACCUGGAUGACUCCAUCAAUGAUGAGAAACUGAGGAAGGAGUUCUCUCCCUAUGGGGUCAUAACCAGCGCCAAGGUGAUGACAGAGGGUGACCACAGCAAAGGGUUUGGCUUUGUGUGUUUUUCCUCUCCAGAAGAGGCGACAAAGGCCGUGACAGAGAUGAACGGGCGCAUCGUGGGCACUAAGCCACUGUAUGUGGCACUAGCCCAGCGCAAGGAGGAGCGGAAGGCCAUCCUGACCAACCAGUACAUACAGCGCCUCUCCACCUUGCGGGCCCUGGGCGGCCCCCUCCUGGGCUCCUUCCAGCAGCCUGCCAACUACUUCCUGCCCGCGGUGCCCCAGCCCCCAGCCCAGGCUCCAUACUACGGCUCUGGCCCACCAGUCCAGCCUGCCCCCAGGUGGAUGGCCCAGCCACCCAGACCCUCAUCCACCUACCCACCAGCUGCCUCAGUGGUCCGGCCAGCAGCUGUGUCUCGGCGACCCUCAGCCCAUGUCGGCGGUGCCAGGCAGGUCUCCACCCACGUGCCUCGCCCGGUGCCCCACACCCAGGGAGUGGCCAACAUUGGUACCCAGACCACAGGACCCAGUGCAGCGGGAUGCUCUACUCCAAGAGGGCCUCUCCUGGCACACAGAUAUUCCUGGGCAGCACACAACACCCCCAGGGUCCAGGAGCCCGCUGUGUGUAUCCCCGGGCAGGAGCCCUUGACUGCAUCCGUGCUGGCUGCAGCCCCGCUGCACGAGCAGAAGCAGAUGAUUGGUGAGCGUCUCUACCCGCUUAUCUACAAUAUCCACGCCCCGCUGGCCGGCAAGAUCACGGGCAUGCUGCUGGAGAUCGACAACUCGGAGCUGCUGCUCAUGCUGGAGUCCCCGGAGUCCCUUAAUGCCAAGGUGGGCUGGAGCCUGGGAGAAGCAGGCAGCCCUGAGGGCGGUGGGAGGAGACUUAAGGACAAAGGCAUCUCCUAGAUGCGUUAGCAGGCUGCUGCUUGGACAGAUGAUGCUUAUCUUCUUGCUCAAACCAGCUAAUAAGUCCUGCUGAAUCUGGGAGGGGGAGAGGGCCUUAAUGAAGGGCUGGCUAUUCCAGGCCCUCCACAGAUUCCCUGCAGCUCCACAGGCAAGAGCUGUGUUCCAACUCAGUAGAAGGCUUAGGACUUUCCCAGCUGUCUAGCAGUGUAGGUGGUGGCCGUGCGUCUGUGUCAUGGGAGCUGGUGAGCAGUCAGAGGAGGGCUCUGCAGAAAUGGGGUGGCGAGAGGGGAAUUCUCGGAUCUGGCUGAGGCAGGGGGAGGGCAAGGCCCUCCCGGGACCCCACUGGGGCAGCUGCACGGGCCCCUCCCACUUGUGUCCCGCAGGUCGAAGAGGCUUUGACAGUGUUGCAGGCACACCAGGCCCCGGAGCAGACCCGAGUGAACGUGCACUGAGACCAGAGUCACCAAGGAGGAGUUCAAGAGAAGCUGUGAAGGUCAAAGGCCAGGAGGACAGAGUGUCUGGAAUGGGCGCUGACUCCGGUGCAAAGUGAAGGGAAUGUUCUGCCAGCUGCCCGCCAUGGUGGCCUCUCUGAGAAGCUUGGCUUUCCCCAGGCACCGCCUGCCUGGAGGCCUGGCAUGGUCUAGUCUAUGUCCUUACUUAAAGGCUGGGGGUCUGCCAUACUUAAGAAACAUUUCUUUUUUUCCAUCCCCAGAAAAUGGACUCGUUUGGCUGACAAAAGAAAAGUGUUUCCUGCUCUUGGCUCUAAUGCCCUGUGAACUGUAACUUCCCAGCUGGGCCGGAUCUGUACUUGAGCUUCCUGUGGAAUGAAGGCUGGUCACCCAGCCAGCCUAUUACCUGUUGCUUUGUGUAUUAAAAGUGCUGCAA